AGUGAACGCUGGCGGUAGGCCUAACACAUGCAAGUCGAACGGCAGCACAGUAAGAGCUUGCUCUUACGGGUGGCGAGUGGCGGACGGGUGAGGAAUACAUCGGAAUCUACUUUUUCGUGGGGGAUAACGUAGGGAAACUUACGCUAAUACCGCAUACGACCUACGGGUGAAAGCAGGGGAUCUUCGGACCUUGCGCGAUUGAAUGAGCCGAUGUCGGAUUAGCGAGUUGGCGGGGUAAAGGCCCACCAAGGCGACGAUCCGUAGCUGGUCUGAGAGGAUGAGCAGCCACACUGGAACUGAGACACGGUCCAGACUCCUACGGGAGGCAGCAGUGGGGAAUAUUGGACAAUGGGCGCAAGCCUGAUCCAGCCAUACCGCGUGGGUGAAGAAGGCCUUCGGGUUGUAAAGCCCUUUUGUUGGGAAAGAAAAGCAGCAGGUUAAUACCCCGCUGUUCUGACGGUACCCAAAGAAUAAGCACCGGCUAACUUCGUG
rnacentral:rRNA from 1 species